UAUUAGAGUUUGAUCCUGGCUCAGGACGAACGCUGGCGGCGUGCUUAACACAUGCAAGUCGAGCGGUAAGGCUCCUUCGGGAGUACACGAGCGGCGAACGGGUGAGUAACACGUGAGCAAUCUGCCCUUCACUUCGGGAUAACUCCGGGAAACCGGUGCUAAUACCGAAUACGACCACUUCAGGCAUCUGAUGGUGGUGGAAAGUUCCGGCGGUGAAGGAUGAGCUCGCGGCCUAUCAGCUUGUUGGUGAGGUAAUGGCCCACCAAGGCAACGACGGGUAGCCGGCCUGAGAGGGUGACCGGCCACACUGGGACUGAGACACGGCCCAGACUCCUACGGGAGGCAGCAGUGGGGAAUCUUGCGCAAUGCGCGAAAGCGUGACGCAGCAACGCCGCGUGGGUGAAGAAGGCCUUCGGGUUGUAAAGCCCUUUCAGGAGGGACGAAGGUUCGGCCGUUAAUAGCGGUCCGGACUGACGGUACCUUCACAAGAAGCCCCGGCUAACUACGUGCCAGCAGCCGCGGUACCCAAUCGC
rnacentral:rRNA from 1 species